rnacentral:rRNA from 1 species
GCUUGUCUCAAAGAUUAAGCCAUGCAUGUCUAAGUAUAAACUGCUUAUACUGUGAAACUGCGAAUGGCUCAUUAAUCAGUUAUAGUUUAUUUGAUGGUACCUCUACUCGGAUAACCGUAGUAAUUCUAGAGCUAAUACAUGCGCCCAGACCCAACUUUUAGGAAGGGUUGUAUUUAUUAGGUACAGAACCAAUGCAAGCUCCGCUUGACCUUUUGGUGAUUCAUGGUAACCGAACGAAUCGCACGGCACCAGCUGGCGAUGGACCAUUUCAGUUUCUGACCUAUCAGCUUCCGAC